GCAAACUUGGUCAUUUAGAGGAAGUAAAAGUCGUAACAAGGUCUCCGUAGGUGAACCUGCGGAGGGAUCAUUAAUAGUACGGCCGCCGUGGAGAAAUCCGCGGGGGAUCGGUAUUACAACCCUUUGUGAACCAAACUUUGUUGCUUCGGGGGCGGCCGUCCACUAUCCCGCGAGGGAUGUAUGGCGGCGCCCCCGGUGGCCAUCAAUUAAACUCUGCAUCUCUUUGCGUCGGAGUCUUGAAUAGAAUUCAAACAAAACUUUCAACAACGGAUCUCUUGGUUCUGGCAUCGAUGAAGAACGCAGC
rnacentral:misc_RNA from 1 species